rnacentral:rRNA from 1 species
GCUACCUACUUCUUUUGCAACCCACUCCCAUGGUGUGACGGGCGGUGUGUACAAGGCCCGGGAACGUAUUCACCGUGGCAUUCUGAUCCACGAUUACUAGCGAUUCCGACUUCACGGAGUCGAGUUGCAGACUCCGAUCCGGACUACGACGCACUUUAUGAGGUCCGCUUGCUCUCGCGAGUUCGCUUCUCUUUGUAUGCGCCAUUGUAGCACGUGUGUAGCCCUGGCCGUAAGGGCCAUGAUGACUUGACGUCAUCCCCACCUUCCUCCGGUUUAUCACCGGCAGUCUCCUUUGAGUUCCCGACCGAAUCGCUGGCAACAAAGGAUAAGGGUUGCGCUCGUUGCGGGACUUAACCCAACAUUUCACAACACGAGCUGACGACAGCCAUGCAGCACCUGUCUCACGGUUCCCGAAGGCACUAAGGCAUCUCUGCCGAAUUCCGUGGAUGUCAAGGCCAGGUAAGGU